UUCACAUUUCUAAUCACUCUAUUGAUUUCCCUUUCGCUCGCGGAGAAAACUCGAUUCAUAUUUCUUGAUUUAAGGUUCGUCUUUCUCAUUAGCUCAUCGAUCAUGGUUGAAGGAGAUUUGAGAUCGCAGGAUGGCAUGUUAGGCCUCAACAUCAACUGAGAUGGAUGCCCGUUGGGUCAACCUUCAAGAGCAACAUAUCGGAAUCCCUGACCGGAGGAGAGGUCAAGGCGCUAGACUCGGAGAUCAGCAGGCGCAUUCUAGCUGGCGCCAUCAACUAUCGUGCGAUGCGAGGGGACCCGGUUCCCUGCUCUCUACGUUCCAAUGGCACUUAUUCUAGCUUCCAAUUCUGCCAGGGUCACUCUCACACUAACCCCUAUAGGCGCGGCUGCAGUUCCAUCACAAGGUGCAGGGGAGGAGGACCGGGAGGUUGAUAUCUCUCUCUCUUCCCCCCAUUUUUUUUUUAAUUUCUUUUAGAUGGAUUUAUGCUUUGCAUGAAGAAAUUGAAAGAGAGAGACGUUGGCGGUGACGGUGUCAACGUUGUUAUUAUUGUUGAUAUAUAGAAAUAUUGUUGCUAUAAUAAUAUUUGUAUGUCUCUGUAUGAAAUUGUAUGUUACAGUGUUUGUAAAAUAUAUAGCCUUGGAGCAAUAUUGCUAUUUAAUUAAAAAAUUUGUUAUUUCCUAUUA